GGAAACGUCCCAUGAUCAAUAGGCCUGCAGCUGUACUAGAACUUGAAGUCAAACCCAGUAACAUGAGGAAUAAAUAUUUUUCCAUGGAGGCAAGGUCAUACAGGUUACCCUCUUUAGUGGCCAAAGAGAGACUAGAUACAGAGCCAAUACAGAGUAAGACAAUAUCCAUGAUCUAGGCUUUCCUUAGCCGUAUUUGGGAAGCAGAGGCUUGAG